rnacentral:rRNA from 1 species
UAGGUGGGCCUGGCGACGGUUGUCCAGGUUCAAGUGCGUAGGCUUGAGAGUUAGGUAAAUCCGGCUCUCUUUAAGGCUGAGACACGACGUCGAGCACCUACGGGUGUGAAGUCAUUGAUGCCAUGCUUCCAGGAAAAGCCUCUAAGCUUCAGAUUGUAAGGAAUCGUACCCCAAACCGACACAGGUGGUCGGGUAGAGAAUACCAAGGCGCUUGAGAGAACUCGGGUGAAGGAACUAGGCAAAAUGGUACCGUAACUUCGGGAGAAGGUACGCUCUUGAUGGUGAAGUCCCUUGCGGAUGGAGCUGACGAGAGUCGCAGAUACCAGGUGGCUGCAACUGUUUAUUAAAAACAC